AUUGAACGCUGGCGACAGGCCUAACACAUGCAAGUCGAACGAGUGGCGGACGGGUGAGUAAUAUAUGGGAAACUGACUGAUUGAGGGGGAUAACUACUGGAAACGGUAGCUAAUACCGCAUACCAUCGGAUGUGCCGAGAUGGGAUUAGCUAGUAGGUGGGGUAAAGGCUAACCUAGGCGACGAUCCCUAGCUGGUGUUAGAGGAUGACAAGCCACACUGGAACGGAGACACGGUCCAGACUCCUACGGGAGGAAGCAGUGGGGAAUAUUGCACUAUGGGCGCAAGCCUGAUGCAGCCAUGCCGCGUGUAUGAAGAAGGCUUUCGGGUUGUAAAGUACUUUCAGCGGGGAGGCGUUACCCGCAGAAGAAGCACCGGCUAACUCCGUGCCAGCAGCCGCGGUAAUUC
rnacentral:rRNA from 1 species